rnacentral:rRNA from 1 species
CAGCAGUCGCCGCGGGAAUACAGAGGGUGCGAGCGUUAAUCGGAUUUACUGGGCGUAAAGCGUGCGUAGGCGGCUAAUUGAGUCGGAUGUGAAAUCCCCGAGCUUAACUUGGGAAUUGCAUUCGAUACUGGUUAGCUAGAGUGUGGGAGAGGAUGGUAGAAUUCCAGGUGUAGCGGUGAAAUGCGUAGAGAUCUGGAGGAAUACCGAUGGCGAAGGCAGCCAUCUGGCCUAACACUGACGCUGAGGUACGAAAGCAUGGGGAGCAAACAGGAUUAGAUACCCGUGUAGUCCCUGUCUCUUAUAA